GAUGAACGCUGGCGGCGUGCUUAACACAUGCAAGUCGAACGAAGCACUUUAACCUGAUUCUUCGGAUGAAGGUUUUUGUGACUGAGUGGCGGACGGGUGAGUAACGCGUGGGUAACCUGCCUCAUAGAGGGGGAUAACAGUUAGAAAUGACUGCUAAUACCGCAUAAGACCACGGAGCCGCAUGGCUCAGUGGGAAAAACUCCGGUGGUAUGAGAUGGACCCGCGUCUGAUUAGGUAGUUGGUGGGGUAACGGCCUACCAAGCCAACGAUCAGUAGCCGACCUGAGAGGGUGACCGGCCACAUUGGGACUGAGACACGGCCCAAACUCCUACGGGAGGCAGCAGUGGGGAAUAUUGCACAAUGGGGGAAACCCUGAUGCAGCGACGCCGCGUGAGCGAAGAAGUAUUUCGGUAUGUAAAGCUCUAUCAGCAGGGAAGAAAAUGACGGUACCUUACUAAGAAGCACCGGCUAAAUACGUGCCAGCAGCCGCGGUAAUACGUAUGGUGCAAGCGUUAUCCGGAUUUACUGGGUGUAAAGGGAGCGUAGACGGCUGUGUAAGUCUGAAGUGAAAGCCCGGGGCUCAACCCCGGGACUGCUUUUGGAAACUAUGCAGCUAGAGUGUCGGAGAGGUAAGUGGAAUUCCCAGUGUAGCGGUGAAAUGCGUAGAUAUUGGGAGGAACACCAGUGGCGAAGGCGGCUUACUGGACGAUGACUGACGUUGAGGCUCGAAAGCGUGGGGAGCAAACAGGAAUUAGAUACCCUGGUAGUCCACGCCGUAAACGAAUGAAUAAAUAGGUGUCGGGGAGCAAAGCUAUUCGGUGCCGCAGCAAACGCAAUAAGUAGUCCACCUGGGGAGUACGUUCGCAAGAAUGAAACUCAAAGGAAUUGACGGGGACCCGCACAAGCGGUGGAGCAUGUGGUUUAAUUCGAAGCAACGCGAAGAACCUUACCUGCUCUUGACAUCCCGGUGACCGGCAUGUAAUGAUGCCUUUUCUUUGGAACACCGGUGACAGGUGGUGCAUGGUUGUCGUCAGCUCGUGUCGUGAGAUGUUGGGUUAAGUCCCGCAACGAGCGCAACCCUUAUCUUCAGUAGCCAGCAAUUCGGAUGGGCACUCUGGAGAGACUGCCAGGGAUAACCUGGAGGAAGGUGGGGAGGACGUCAAAUCAUCAUGCCCCCUAGGGGCAGGGCUACACACGUGCUACAAUGGCGUAAGCAAAGGGAAGCGAGCCUGCGAGGGUAAGCAAAUCUCAAAAAUAACGUCUCAGUUCGGAUUGUAGUCUGCAACUCGGCUACAUGAAGCUGGAAUCGCUAGUAAUCGCGAAUCAGCAUGUCGCGGUGAAUACGUUCCCGGGUCUUGCAC
rnacentral:rRNA from 1 species